ACCUGAAAAGGGCAAACUUAGGGAAACCUAAGGACGCAAAGUCAUGGGCCUAAGGAGCAGAGCUCUAUGGUUGCCAGACUGCCAGG
rfam:Thermobrachium celere DSM 8682 genomic scaffold, scaffold33